UGUCAGGCUGGCAGAAGUGA
rnacentral:misc_RNA from 1 species